rnacentral:lncRNA from 1 species
GGGUGUGAUUCUGACAAGCAUAAUAAGGGACGUUCAGAAGAAGAAAAGAGAGAGAUCUCCGACGAUGUCCGAUAAGCAUUGAAUUUUUCAACGUGGGAUAGUGGGGGGAAAUAGGGAUCUUUAAAUAGAGUGGAGGGGAGAUCUAAUCAUUUCCAAUAUCAGCUGCCCUUCGGUGAAGUUGGAAGGAAGAAAACUCUUGAUUUUUUUUUUUUUAGUGCUUUAAAAUUUGUACGACCCUUUUGGAUCUGCUUCUGGUUGCUGGGCCGAUCAAGUGG